rnacentral:rRNA from 1 species
AUUGAACGCUGGCGGCAUGCCUUACACAUGCAAGUCGAACGGCAGCACGGGAGCAAUCCUGGUGGCGAGUGGCGAACGGGUGGGUAAAGUAUCGGAACGUGCCCAGUCGUGGGGGAUAACGUAGCGAAAGUUACGCUAAUACCGCAUACGAUCUAUGGAUGAAAGCGGGGGAUCGCAAGACCUCGCGCGAUUGGGGCGGCCGAUAUCAGAUUAGGUAGUUGGUGGGGUAAAGGCUCACCAAGCCGACGAUCUGUAGCCGGUCUGAGAGGACGACCAGCCACACUGGGACUGAGACACGGCCCAGACUCCUACGGGAGGCAGCAGUGGGGAAUUUUGGACAAUGGGCGAAAGCCUGAUCCAGCCAUGCCGCGUGCAGGAUGAAGGCCUUCGGGUUGUAAACUGCUUCUGUACGGAACGAAAAGGUUUGGCCUAAUAAGCUGAGCUCAUGACGGUACCGUAAGAAUAAGCACCGGCUAACUACGUGCCAGCAGCCGCAGUAA